rnacentral:lncRNA from 1 species
CUUCUUUAGAUGUGUUGACUUUGUGGAAGAACCCCAGUUAACAGGAACAUAGGGAGGGGUUUUCUUCAUUCUCUCAUUCAGGUACCCCCAUUUUUACCGUCAAUGGCUUUUUCCCCGUAAAGAAGCUAAGUUUGGCUUGACAUCUCUACAGGGCUCCUCUUCAUAGGCAACCAGGAGCUGAGAAGACCUCAUUCAUGCUGAGAUAGUCCUGUCUUCAAGAGAAAAGAGCCUUGUCUUACUGUGUUGACCAGCCUGGAGUGCAGUGGUGUGAUCAUGGCUCACUGCAGCCUCGAACUCCUGGGUUCAAGUGAUUUUUCCUGCCUUAACUUCUCUAGUACUUGGGACUACAGGCAUGUGUCACCAACCUGGCUAAUAUUUGUAUUUAUUUUGUAGAGACAAAGUUUUGCUAUGUUGACCAGGCUGGUCUCAAACUCCUGACCUCAAGUGAUUUUCCUGCUUGGCCACCCAAAGUGCUGGGAUUAUAGGCGUGAGCCACUAUGCCUGGCCAGUUAUGAAUUCUUUAUGUGCAUUUUGAGGACUCAUUUGAAUCCAGGCUCAUGUACCACCUAAGACAGAUUGCUAAAAUACCUUCCAUUCCAUAAGUAAAUUUUGCAUACUUAUUGAAUUAUUUGAAAAUAUAUAUGUGUGUGUG